CAUUCUUAAUAUACAAUACUACUUUUUCAUCCAUUAAUCCCCUUACAAUGUCGAGUAAACGAAGCAUCUGUCCCCUGGUAUUGUCUUCGAGCUUGGUGUGUUUUUCUAGCCAGCCCCAAGUUCUCGAGUUGAUCAUUGUUUGUAUUCUGACACAUUAUUUGGGGACGAGAUGUUUUGUUGACUCGAUAUAAGAAGGGGCUUUAUGGAAGAAAUUGUAGUAUUAUAUAUUGAGAAUG
rfam:Arabidopsis thaliana chromosome 4, complete sequence.